GAAAGAAGUCAGAGUCUGAUGGUAAUGGUGGCAGCGGCAGUGGGAGCCACAGGACUGGAGUCCUCUGCAAGAGACAAAGAUAACCUAAUAAAGCCAGUGUGUAAGUCUUUGAACUAGACUCCAUAUGACAGAGGCAAAUAAUUCUCCUUGUUGUGAUAUUUCUUUUUAAUAUUAAAAUUUUCUUCCAUUUGCUCAGAGACUCAAGUGAAAUGGAUGUGGAGUCAACAAACAGCAGGAGCCACCUGUCUGUGGAAGAGCAACGAGACUUUUAAUACCACUGCGCUAACAGGAGAAUUCAGACUCCACGUACAGAUAAUGCUGGACUACCCCUGCCACUCCCAAAUUUAGCUCCCAGCCAGGGAACCAUGUCUCACAAGGAGGAGCUCUUAGUCAACAUGCACUGCAAAAGACUUAAAAAUUUCAGUUUUGGGAUGUGAUAAUCGAUGAACCUGGCAUCGACCCCACUGGCAGUUACCAUGGCGACAGUGACUUGCAGCUGGAGAGGAUCAGUGUGUACUACAAUGAAGCUGCUGCUAAAGGAGAUCCCUUGGAGUUUUGAAAGCACUUCCCCUGGAUGUUCCUUGGAUUCGGCUUCCUGUGCAGACUGCUCUUACAAAGGCAGCAUAGACCACGGGAGGAACAGAAAGGCAGACACUGUUCGUGAAUCAAAGGCUGAUGAAGUACAGCAGUGUGGCUGGAAAAGGCCCACAUGGAAGAGCACACAGGACAACCAUUUCUGAGCCAGGCUUUCUUCCUCGUGCUUGGCAAAUAUUUGCUGCAAAACUCCCCUGCAUGCGUUUAGCAAUGGCAAAAUUAGGCUCUGUUCAAAUAACUGGCUUCCUUCCCUUUAGAAGAGAAGAAAAUAUUGAUGUCAACCUCCCCGACUUGUUAUUUGCCUUGAAAGUGAAAAUGAACAUAUCUUGGGCUCUGGAACACUCUGGAAGAACUGAAUAGUGUUCUUUCUACACUAGCUUGGCCCGGUGGACGGUAGCCACACCCAAAUUCCUUGGCAAAUAGAUCUUGGCGAGAUGUG